rnacentral:rRNA from 1 species
ACGAACGCUGGCGGCAGGCCUAACACAUGCAAGUCGAACGCUCCGCAAGGGGAGUGGCAGACGGGUGAGUAACACGUGGGAAUCUUCCUAUUGGUACGGAAUAGCUCAGGGAAACUUGGGGUAAUACCGUAUAAGCCCGAGAGGGGAAAGAUUUAUCGCCAGUAGAUGAGCCCGCGUCUGAUUAGCUAGUUGGUGAGGUAAUGGCUCACCAAGGCGACGAUCAGUAGCUGGUCUGAGAGGAUGAUCAGCCACACUGGGACUGAGACACGGCCCAGACUCCUACGGGAGGCAGCAGUGGGGAAUAUUGGACAAUGGGCGCAAGCCUGAUCCAGCCAUGCCGCGUGAGUGACGAAGGUCUUCGGAUUGUAAAGCUCUUUUGGCGGGGACGAUAAUGACGGUACCCGCAGAAUAAGCCCCGGCUAACUUCGU